CAGCCGCCACGGGAAUACGUAGGGUGCGAGCGUUAAUCGGAAUUACUGGGCGUAAAGCGUGCGCAGGCGGUUGUGUAAGACAGGUGUGAAAUCCCCGGGCUUAACCUGGGAACUGCGCUUGUGACUGCACAGCUAGAGUAUGGCAGAGGGGGGUGGAAUUCCACGUGUAGCAGUGAAAUGCGUAGAGAUGUGGAGGAACACCGAUGGCGAAGGCAGCCCCCUGGGCCAAUACUGACGCUCAUGCACGAAAGCAUGGGGAGCAAACAGGAUUAGAUACCCGCGUAGUCCCUGUCUCUUAUAC
rnacentral:rRNA from 1 species